CCGAGGCAACCCCCGAGCCAACACACGCGAAAAACCCCGACCCACGGAGAGACGCCCCUACCAGAUCAAAACCAAACGGCCCCGGCCGUCUCAUCGGUGACCCCGAACAACUCUGGGCCGAUCGUAUGGCCUUGUGCCGACGACGCUUCCUUCGAAGGUGUGCCCUAUCAACCGUCGACUGUGAUAUAGACGCUCACAGUGGUUUUGACGGGUAACGGGGAAUCAGGGUUCGAUUCCGGAGAGGGAGCCUUAAAAACGGCUACCACAUCCAAGGAAGGCAGCAGGCACGCAAAUUACCCAAUGACCGAAGGUCGAGGUAGUGACGAAAAAUAACGAUACAGGACCCAUCCGAGGCCCUGUAAUCGGAAUGAGCACACUCUAAAACCGUUCCCGAGGAUCUAUUGGAGGG
rnacentral:rRNA from 1 species